rnacentral:rRNA from 1 species
CACAUGCAAGUCGAGGAGGCAGCAUGAGGUAGCAAUACCUUGAUGGCGACCGGCGCACGGGUGAGUAACGCGUAUGCAACCUGCCUGAUACCGGGGUAUAGCCCAUGGAAACGUGGAUUAACACCCCAUAGUACUUUUAUCCUGCCUGGGAUGGGAGUUAAAUGUUCAAGGUAUCGGAUGGGCAUGCGUCCUAUUAGUUAGUUGGCGGGGUAACAGCCCACCAAGACGAUGAUAGGUAGGGGUUCUGAGAGGAAGGUCCCCCACAUUGGAACUGAGACACGGUCCAAACUCCUACGGGAGGCAGCAGUGAGGAAUAUUGGUCAAUGGACGUAAGUCUGAACCAGCCAAGUCGCGUGAGGGAAGACUGCCCUAUGGGUUGUAAACCUCUUUUAUAAGGGAAGAAUAAGUUCUACGUGUAGAAUGAUGCCUGUACCUUAUGAAUAAGCAUCGGCUAACUCCGUGCCAGCAGCCGCGGUAAUACGGAGGAUGCGAGCGUUAUCCGGAUUUAUUGGGUUUAAAGGGUGCGUAGGCGGUUUAUUAAGUUAGUGGUUAAAUAUUUGAGCUAAACUCAAUUGUGCCAUUAAUACUGGUAAACUGGAGUACAGACGAGGUAGGCGGAAUAAGUUAAGUAGCGGUGAAAUGCAUAGAUAUAACUUAGAACUCCGAUAGCGAAGGCAGCUUACCAGACUGUAAC